rnacentral:tRNA from 1 species
AGAUGUAGCUCAGUUUGGUAGAGCGCUGCGUUCGGGACGCAGAGGCCGCAGGUUCAAGUCCUGUCAUCU